rnacentral:misc_RNA from 1 species
GAGAGAGAGAGAGAGAGGAAGAGGAGGUAAGAAGUCAGCCGGCCAUGGAAUCCAACAUCGGCAGCCUCAUUUUUAGUGUCCUUGCAAGUGAGGAAGCUUCGUUGAGGGAAGUAUCCCGUCGGAAAAUCGCGGGUAUAGAGAGAAAGAAGAGAACACGAAUCUUCUAAAGCCUUUUCUGGCCAUUUCCAGCGCCCACAAGGACGGGCAAGACUUCCCUUAGCAUCCCUUAGCUCCAGAGAGACUAUGCGACCGGCAGUGCAGCGUGUGAGUUGCCGGAGAAGUAGAUCGAUUUUUGGAUAACUGAAACUUUGAGCCUUCGAUUUGUUCGAUUGGGCGACUUUCUGGGCACGUGGCUGGUAUAGGAGUGACUAGCAGAGUAUUGCGAGUUCGGUGGUGUGAGCAGCUUUGCCGUACGCUGCUGUAGGAGGCGACGCGUGGACGCGCUGAUGAGGGGGACCCGCGACAAUUUGGUCCAGCAGCUUUUUUUGCCUCCUUUUCAGUUUUAUUCAGUCCUUUGAGCUUAGUUCCAUUUGGGAAUUAUGGUUCGUGGAAGAGAUGCGUGUUGGGAGCACUGUGUUCUUGUGGAUGCAACAAGACAGAAGGUGAGAUGUAAUUAUUGUCAUAGGGAAUUCAGUGGAGGUGUUUACCGGAUGAAGUUUCAUUUGGCACAAAUAAAAAACAAAGACAUAAUCCCCUGUGGAGAAGUCCCAGAUGAUGUGCGAGAUCAUAUUCAAAGUAUUCUAAGCAUUCCUAAGAAGCGGAAAACUCCCAAGAAACAAAAGGUGGAUCGAGCCGCCAACGGUCAACAAAAUAGCUCUUCAGCUAGUGGUGGCUUACAUCCUAACCAUGGGUCCAGUGGCCAACAUGGUAGUACCUGCCCAUCUUUGUUAUUUCCACGCCCCUCACCUAGUGCACAACCAGUAGUGGAUGAUGCUCUGAAGCAAAAACAGGAUAAUGCAGAUAAAAAAAUUGCACUGUUUUUCUUACAUAAUUCUAUUGCUUUUAGUGCUGCUAAAUCGAUGUAUUAUCAAGAGAUGUUUGAUGCUGUAGCUGAGUGUGGGGUGGGUUACAAAGCUCCAAGUUAUGAAAAGCUGAGAUCCACCCUAUUGGAAAAAGUGAAAGGUGAUAUACAUGAUUGGUACAAGAAAUAUAGAGAUGAGUGGAAAGAAACAGGUUGCACGGUCUUGUGUGACAGCUGGUCUGAUGGUAGAACCAAAUCAAUUCUUGUAAUUUCAGUUGCAUGCCCCAAAGGAACACUAUAUUUGAAGUCGGUUGAUAUAUCCGGUCAUGAAGAUGAUGCUAAUUACUUGUUUGAAUUGCUUGUCUCGAUUGUCUUAGAAGUUGGUGUGGAAAAUGUUAUACAAGUAAUAACUGAUAAUGCUGCCAGUUAUGUUUAUGCCGGGAGGCUUCUCAUGGCCAAGUACAGCUCCUUGUUUUGGUCACCUUGUGCGUCUUACUGUAUUGAUAAGAUGCUGGAAGAUAUCAGUAAACUAGAGUGGGUGGGAACAGUCUUGGAGGAGGCAAAUACCAUCACUAGGUACAUAUAUGAUCAUUCAUGGACCGUAAAUAUGAUGAGAAAGUUCACAGGUGGAAGGGAUUUGGUCAGGCCUAGAAUCACUAGAUUUGUGAGUAAUUAUCUUUCCUUGAGGGCCAUUGUUAUCCAGGAGGAUAAUUUAAAGCAUAUGUUCUCUCAUUCAGAGUGGUUAUCAUCCAUACAUAGCAGACGUCCAGAUGCUCAAGUCAUUAAAUCUUUGUUGUUUCAAGAUCGGUUUUGGAAGUUUGCACAUGAAGCUGUUAGUGUCUCUGAACCACUUGUUAAAAUUUUAAGGAUUGUUGAUGGAGACAUGCCAGCUAUGGGGUAUAUUUAUGAAGGAAUAGAGAGGGCAAAGGCUGCAAUCAAGGCAUUUUAUAAGGGCAUUGAAGAAAAAUAUAUGCCAAUUUGGGAUAUAAUUGAUCAAAGAUGGAAUAUACAGCUCCACUCGCCUUUGCAUGCUGCAGCAGCAUUCCUUAACCCGUCAAUUUUCUACAACCCAAAUUUUAAAAUUGAUUUACGGAUGAGGAAUGGGUUUCAAGAAGCUAUGAUCAAGAUGGCUACUUCAGAUAAAGAUAAAGUAGAAAUCACCAAAGAGCAUCCAAUGUUCAUAAAUGCUCAAGGUGCUCUUGGUACUGAUUUUGCAAUCAUGGGCAGGACAAUGAAUUCUCCAGGUAUGUGUGAGCUUUUGUGGUUAUUACUAUACAUAAAUGGUUGCGUCUUAACAUGGUUUCUAAGGUGCAUACUGGCUUUACAGUGUAUAUUCACCUUGUGUGUAUGUGCCGUCUCUGAAUUGGCAUUGGAGUCCGCCAAUCUAUUUCACUAGUACAAUACCUACCAAUUACCAAAACAAUAGAGAAUCCUCCUCUGUGUUGGAAUUGGUUGUUGUUGGUCAUUGGUAGAAGAAACAUUAAGGAUGAGAGAAUUUAGAGUAACGUGCUAAACUGGUCAAUUGUACCUACUUUAGAUCUUAGACCUGUCCUUUGGGUGCCAUAUAAGGUUGGCUCCAUAUUUUGUGCUGGAAUAGUCUGGCAUGCAUGUUGGUAGGAAGGUGAUCAAUGGAUACGGAAUAUGGAUGUGUGCUCUCAAGGUCGGAAUUGGCUACUUUUCAAAAUUUUCAUUCAUCUUCACAUUGAUUUAAAGUGUCAGUGUUCUAUUAGUGUCAAAAUAUCCAAUCUGAAACUGAUAUUUUACAAUGAAGUUACAAAUAACUACUAUGGCUUUGAGACAUUGUAACAUUUUAUAUUUUUAAGUGUUUAAAUAAGAAUUACAACUGCGUCUAAUAUGCCAUCACAUUCAUCUUUAGGUGAUU